AUAGUUAGGAGGUCCAGCCUGCCCAGUGACUUAGGGUUCAACGGCCGCGGUAUUUUGACCGUGCAAAGGUAGCGCAAUCACUUGUCUCUUAAAUAGAGACCUGUAUGAAUGGCUAGACGAGGGCUUAACUGUCUCCCUUCUCAAGUCAGUGAAAUUGAUCUGCCCGUGCAGAAGCGGGCAUAAACAUACAAGACGAGAAGACCCUUUGGAGCUUAAGGUACAAAACCUAACCACGUUAAACAAAUCAAUUAAGAGAAAUAAACUCAGUGGGGGAUAGAAAUUUACCUUCGGUUGGGGCGACCACGGAAGACAAAGAAGCUUCCAAGUGGACUGGGAUUUAUCCUAAAGCCAAGAGGAACCCCUCUAAGCAACAGAACAUCUGACCAUAAAUGAUCCGGCCUACUGGCCGAUCAACGAACCAAGUUACCCUAGGGAUAACAGCGCAAUCCCCUCCCAGAGUCCAUAUCGACGAGGGGGUUUACGACCUCGAUGUUGGAUCAGGACAUCCUAAUGGUGCAGCCGCUAUUAAGGGUUCGUUUGUUCAACGAUUAAAGUCCUACGUGAUCUGAGUCCAGACCGGA
rnacentral:rRNA from 1 species